rnacentral:rRNA from 1 species
CCCUUAGAUGUUCUGGGCUGCACGCGCGCUACACUGAAGCGUUCAACGAGUAUUCACCUUGCCCGGGAGGGUUGGGUAAUCUUUUGAAAACGCUUCGUGAUGGGGAUAGAUUAUUGCAAUUAUUAAUCUUCAACGAGGAAUUCCUAGUAAGCGCGAGUCAUCAGCUCGUGCUGAUUACGUCCCUGCCCUUUGUACACACCGCCCGUCGCACCUACCGAUUGAAUGGUCCGGUGAAAUCUCGGGACGGCGGCUUGGUCGCUUGCGUCCGACUGCUGAAACUUGAUUAAACCAUNUNAUUUAGNGGAAGGUGAANUCGUANCA